rnacentral:rRNA from 1 species
GACGAACGCUGGCGGCGUGCCUAACACAUGCAAGUCAACUUGAGGGAAGGAGCAAUCUGACCUGAUGGUGGCGCAAAGGGUGCGUAACGCGUAAGUAACUUGCCCCAAGGUAAGGAAUAACGUCGAGAAAUCGGCGCUAAUACCUCAUAAUGCAGCGGAUCCGCAUGGAUAUGUUGUUAAAAGGUUUACCGCCUUGGGAUAGGCUUGCGUCUGAUUAGCUAGUUGGUGUGGUAAUGGCACACCAAGGCUACGAUCAGUAACUGGUCUGAGAGGAUGAUCAGUCACACUGGAAACUGAGACACGGUCCAGACUCCUACGGAGGCAGCAGUGAGGAAUAUUGGGCAAAUGCACGAAAGUAGUGACCCAG